UACGUAGGGCGCAAGCGUUGUCCGGAAUUAUUGGGCGUAAAGAGCUCGUAGGCGGUUUGUCGCGUCUGCUGUGAAAACCUAAGGCUCAACCUUGGGCUUGCAGUGGGUACGGGCAGACUAGAGUGCGGUAGGGGUGACUGGAAUUCCUGGUGUAGCGGUGGAAUGCGCAGAUAUCAGGAGGAACACCGAUGGCGAAGGCAGGUCACUGGGCCGCAACUGACGCUUGGAGGAGCGGAAAGCAUGGGGAGCGAACAGG
rnacentral:rRNA from 1 species